UACGUAGGGUGCAAGCGUUGUCCGGAAUUAUUGGGCGUAAAGAGCUCGUAGGCGGUUUGUCGCGUCGAAUGUGAAAUCCCGGGGCUCAACCCCGGGCCUGCAUUCGAUACGGGCAUCACUGGAGUUCGGCAGGGGAGACUGGAAUUCCUGGUGUAGCGGUGAAAUGCGCAGAUAUCAGGAGGAACACCGGUGGCGAAGGCGGGUCUCUGGGCCGAUACUGACGCUGAGGAGCGAAAGCGUGGGGAGCGAACAGG
rnacentral:rRNA from 1 species